rnacentral:tRNA from 1 species
GCCCGGCUAGCUCAAUCGGUAGAGCGUGAGACUCUUAAGUAAUCUCAAGGUUGCGGGUUCGACCCCCGCGUCGGGCU